rnacentral:rRNA from 1 species
UACAGAGGGUGCAAGCGUUAAUCGGAAUUACUGGGCGUAAAGCGUGCGUAGACGGUUAUGUAAGUCGGGUGUGAAAGCCCCGGGCUCAACCUGGGAAUGCCAUUCGAGACUGCAUAGCUAGGGUGCGGAAGAGGGAAGCGGAAUUUCCGGUGUAGCGGUGAAAUGCGUAGAUAUCUGGAGGAACACCGGUGGCGAAGGCGGCAUCCUGGACCGACACUGACACUGAGGAGCGAAAGCCAGGGGAGCAAACGGG